UGCGCAGGCGGUGCGUUAAGUCGGAUGUGAAAUCUCACAGCCUAACUGUGAGCGGUCAUUCGAAACUAGCGCGCUUGAGGACUGGAGAGGAGACUGGAAUGGUCGGUGUAGCGGUGAAAUGCGUAGAGAUCGACCAGAACACCAGUGGCGAAGGCGGGUCUCUGGACAGUUCCUGACGCUCAGGCACGAAAGCCAGGGGAGCAAACG
rnacentral:rRNA from 1 species